CCUACGGGAGGCUGCAGUGGGGAAUAUUGCACAAUGGGGGAAACCCUGAUGCAGCAACGCCGCGUGAGUGAAGAAGUAUUUCGGUAUGUAAAGCUCUAUCAGCAGGGAAGAAGAUGACGGUACCUGAGUAAGAAGCCCCGGCCAACUACGUGCCAGCAGCCGCGGUAAUACGUAGGGGGCAAGCGUUAUCCGGAUUUACUGGGUGUAAAGGGAGCGUAGACGGCUGCGCAAGUCAGAAGUGAAAGCCCGGGGCUCAACCCCGGGACUGCUUUGGAAACUGUGUAGCUAGAGUGCUGGAGAGGCAAGCGGAAUUCCUGGUGUGGCGGGGAAGUGCGUAGUUAUUAGGAAGAACACCAGUGGCAAGGGCGGCUUGCUGGACAGUAACUGACGUUGGGGCUCGAAGGCGUGGGGGGCAAACGGAAU
rnacentral:rRNA from 1 species